rnacentral:misc_RNA from 1 species
UUUCCGUAGGUGAACCUGCGGAAGGAUCAUUAACGAGUUUUGUACCAAUACGGUACAAUCUUCAUCCAUAACACCUGUGAACUUUACAUUAACAUUUGCUUUGGCUGGACGUAAAAAACCUAGCCAAAGGAUUAAACAAAACCUUUUAUUUAAUAACCUAUUGUCUGAAUUGUAAUAAUUUUAAUUAUUCAAAACUUUCAACAACGGAUCUCUUGGUUCUC